AAAAAAAAAAAAAAAAAAAGAAGAAAAUAGUAGGAACAAUUUUGACUCCUUUCUUGAUUGUUGGGUGUUAAAACGUUCUCUUUCUAUUUU
rnacentral:ribozyme from 11 species